GACGAACGCUGGCGGCGUGCUUAACACAUGCAAGUCGAACGGAAAGGCCCUGCUUUUGUGGGGUGCUCGAGUGGCGAACGGGUGAGUAACACGUGAGUAACCUGCCCUUGACUUUGGGAUAACUUCAGGAAACUGGGGCGAAUACCGGAUAGGAGCUCCUGCUGCAUGGUGGGGGUUGGAAAGUUUCGGCGGUUGGGGAUGGACUCGCGGCUUAUCAGCUUGUUGGUGGGGUAGUGGCUUACCAAGGCUUUGACGGGUAGCCGGCCUGAGAGGGUGACCGGCCACAUUGGGACUGAGAUACGGCCCAGACUCCUACGGGAGGCAGCAGUGGGGAAUCUUGCACAAUGGGCGGAAGCCUGAUGCAGCACCGCCGCGUGCGGGAUGCCGGCCUUCGGGUUGUAAACCGCUUUCGCCUGUGACGAAGCGUGAGUGACGGUAAUGGGUAAAGAAGCACCGGCUAACUACGUG
rnacentral:rRNA from 1 species